rnacentral:rRNA from 1 species
GACGAACGCUGGCGGCGCGCCUAACACAUGCAAGUCGAACGAGAGAGAGGAAGCUUGCUUCCUUAAUCGAGUGGCGAACGGGUGAGUAACGCGUGAGGAACCUGCCUCAAAGAGGGGGACAACAGUUGGAAACGACUGCUAAUACCGCAUAAGCCCACAGCUCGGCAUCGAGCAGGGGGAAAAGGAGUGAUCCGCUUUGAGAUGGCCUUGCGGUGCAUUAGUUAGUUGGUGAGGUAAUGGCUCACCAAGACAGUGAUGCAUAGCCGACCUGAGAGGGUGAUCGGCCACAUUGGGACUGAGACACGGCCCAA